UUCAGGACGAACGCUGGCGGCGCGCCUAACACAUGCAAGUCGUGCGCUCGUAAGAGCGCGGCGAACGGGUGAGUAACAGCAAGGAACAUGCCUUAUUCCGGGAACUACCCCAUCGAAAGGUGGGUUAAUGUCCCAUAGUCCCGCAAGGGUAAAGCUCCGGCGGAAUAAGAUUGGCCUUGCUCCUAUCAGCUUGUUGGUGAGGUAACGGCUCACCAAGGCUACGACGGGUAGGGGGUCUGAGAGGAUGAUCCCCCACAAUGGGACUGAGACACGGCCCAUACAUCUACGGAUGGCAGCAGUUGGGAGUAUUGCACAAUGGGCGAAAGCCUGAUGCAGCGACGCCGCGUGAAGGAAGAAGGCCCUCGGGUUGUAAACUUCUUUUGUAAGGGACGAUUGUGACGGUACCUUACGAAUAAGGACCUGCUAACUACGUG
rnacentral:rRNA from 1 species